GCUCCUGACCAGUGUCCUGGCACCUUGAACUUCCCAUCAACCCUCUUGCUUCCCUCUGCUGCCGGAGAAGGACAAACUCCUCAGCCUGUCACCAAAGCCCCCUCCAUCCGCUGGGCCCCCCGGCAAGCUUUAUCUCCUCCAGCAGACAGAGGAGUGCCAGGAUAACGAGGGAAGCUGGAACAUGAGCCUGCGUAGGGGUGGAUCCCUGCGUCAACUGAGUUUUCUCAUGAUUUGGGGAGUGACUAUUGUGCAGUAGCCUAUGCCUUUUAUCCUAAAGACAUUUUAUUUUUUUGCGUUUGGAAUUGGAGGUACCAAGUGAUUUCCUUUCUGGUUUCUCUCUCUCUCUGUCCCAAUUCCAUCCUUUUCUCUGUGAGUAUGUCCCUUUGCCCCAAAGGUGAUUCCAUGUGGACGACAGGCUGCCACCCUUCCAGCCCUGGUGUCCUGAUUCAGGGCUGUGAAUGUAAUUCUGGGUGGGGAAAUAGAGCUGCGAUCUCGUUGGUCUUUUGCGGGGCAAAGGAGGGCAGCCUCUCUUUGUCUCACACUUGUACCAUGUGGUCCGGGAGGUGGCCCCAAUAGAGAGCCCAAAGACGGGCUGAUCACAUCGCUUCUUCUAGGCAUGGACUUGCAGGCAUAAUUUUGGUGGGAUUCAUAACCACAGGGCCAUGUGGUUUUUUUGCCUGCAUUUUCUUAGGGGAGGGGGAAGGGGAAGAGAAAAUUCUCUGAGUGGCCGCUGUUGAUAUGAGCUUGCAGCAGCGACGAUAAUAACCAGGUCCCCUAUCUGUCUCAGAAAACCGGGACCCAUGCUGGGCUGUGAGUGUGCGGCUGUGAUCUGGUGUGCAAAGGUGUUCAGAAAAAAGCCCAAAUGUGACACUUUGAGAAGGAGUGAGGCUUGAGGCUUUGCUUUAUAGCUUUUGGUUUCUAUUGUCAAAAUUUGGACUUCAGAGCACUUUCUAAGUGGGGAGCUGUGACUUGGCCCGUGGCCUGACCAAACCCAGGUUACAGAAAAGGGCUUUCCAGAAAGAUUUUAUUCUAGAAAUUAACAUAUACAGAGUUCCCAUUGUGGCUCAGUGGGUUAAAAACCCAUCUGGUAUCAAUGAGGACACAGGUUCAAUCCCUGGCCUCUCUGAGUGGGUUAAGGAUCUGGCAUUACCAUGAGCUGUGGUGUAGGUCGCAGAAGGCGCUCAGAUCUGGCAUUGCUGUGGCUGUGGUGUAGGCCAGCAGCUAUAGCUCCGAUUCGACCCCUAGCCUGGGAACCUCCAUAUGUAUGCAGUGGGUGUGGCCCUAAAAAGAGAAAACAAAACAAACAAAAAUGUGCAACUAAGUAUAACUUGGGGCUUAAGCCUUCUGACUCUGGAGGCUGCCUGCUGUCCGAUCCCAGUUCCACCAGCAGCUGGACCUCAUGGUCUGUUAAUACAAAAACAGCCUCCUUUUAACCAUCUGUACAGGUGCAGAAAGUCAUAAUUCCUGUCUCAGGAGACUGUUGGGAAGGUUAAAGGGGAUGCCCCCGGGGAGUGCCCAGCUCGGGGACCAGGUCUACAGAUGCUCUUAGGAAAGCUAGGCCUUCUUUAAACUACCAGCGUUAGCAAGUAAGAUUGCAAGAUACAGUCCUAUUUGAACUCACUACACAGAGUGGAAGUGUCAGAACGUACAGUGUAGACCAACCCGAGUGUCAGUGCCCUAUUAGAUUUUAUUUUAUUUUAUUUUUUGCUUUUUAGGGCUGCUCCUGCAGCAUAUGGAAGUUUCCAGGCUAGGGAUCGAAUGGGAGCUGCAGCUGCUGGGCUACGUCUCAGCCACAGCAACGCAGGAUCCUUAACCCACUGAGCAAGCCCAGGGAUGGAACCUAUACCCUCAUAGACAUCAUGUCGGGUUCUUCAUCUGCUGAGCCAUAACGGGAACUCAGAUUUUAAACACCUCGAGGGCAAAGGCCAUGUUCCAAUAUUUCACCAAAGAAUGAUACAGACUUCAUCACAUGACCAAGAAAUCCCAAGGUGCCUCAUUUGGAGGAAAGCAAAAUUGACCCAACACGGAGGGGCUUCAGCGGAACACCAGGGCCCAGAGUCAGGACCUCACCCCCCAAGCUCGGGCGCGUCUCCAACAGGAAUAGUACGGAAGGCUCCUGGGUCCGGGUUCCGGCCAUCAGAGGUGAGGGCUUCAGUUCCACGCCUGUCACUGCAUUUCAGCCACAGACCACCCGCCUCCCCAGACACACCUGUGGAUAAAUCAUAGAAGAAACGGGUUUAAUGCUCAACGCCGAAGGGGGCAGGGUCCAUCCCAAGAACCAGGCAGCAUCUUAGCAGAGCAUUUGCUGUGUUAGGUGACCUGGCGGAAGAUUCAAUGCAGCAGGCUAUGCCCUGAUUAGACGCUGCCAGCGAGUCGGGGGAUGCCAGGGCGGGGGUCUGUACGAAUCCUCCGCAUAACGGGGGUGGGGGCGAAGCGAGGCCUCAGCUUCGGGGAAGAACAGAAGCCACUCACAUUGGCCAGGCAGGGGGAUGUCUGGCGUUUCUACAGCUGGAAGAAUGCUCUUGUUUUUGUUUGGGGGGGGCAUGCUCGUGGCAUGCAGAAAUUCCCAGGCCAGGGAUCCAACCCACACCGCAGGAGUUGCCGUUGUGGCCCAGUGGUAAUGAAUCUGACCAGUAUCCAUGAGGACGCAGGUUCAAUCCCUGGCCUUGCUCAGUGGGUUAAAGAUCCAGUGUUACCGUGAGCUGUGGUGUAGUCCCAGAAGCGGCUUGGAUUUGAUGUGGCUGUGGCUGUGGUGUAGUCUGGUGGCUGCAGCUCUGAUUCAACCCUUAGCCUGGGAACUUCCAUAUGUGGCCCUGAAAAACAAAACCAAACAAAACCCCCACACUACAGCUGGGAUACAAGCCACAGCAGUGACCACACCAGAUCCUUACCCACUAGGCCACCAGGGAACUCCCAGAAAGCUCCUGCUUUUAUCUGAGCUUAGAGAAGCACGCAGAGUGGCCUCUUGUCUGGUGCUGGUGUCCUGAGAGAUAACGUUCAGCAGGACACUGGCUUAGCCGCGGGUGCCAGGCCAAUCCUAGUCACACCAAGGCCGAGCUGUGUCACUUUCCAGAUGUCAGGGGACCUGCUUGUCUCUUUUUCAUGUUUUCAGUACUUACUCUAUUUGUACAUGUUCACGAAGCAGGUUUAUGAGCACUUCCUGUGUAUGGGAGUUCCCGCUGUGGCUCAGUGGUAAUGAACCCGACUAGGAUCCAUGAGGAUGCGGGUUUGAUCCCUGGCCUCACUUGGUGGGUUAAGGAUCCAGUGUUGCUGGGAGUUGCAGUGUAGGCUGUAAUGCAGCUCGGAUCCCGCAUUGCUGUGGCUGUGGUGUAGGCUGGCAGGUGCAGCUCCCAUUUGACCCCUAUCCUAGGAACCUCCAUAUACUGCAAGUGUGGCCCUGAAAAGAAAAAAAAUCCUGGGUAGAAGGUCACUUAGAAGCUGUGCGAAGCUGGGCGGGUUACUUCCCCUCUUGGCGUGUCAGGCUCCUCCAUCCUUUCUCGCUGCAGUGUGACUGAUACCUGCUCUUAGGGAUGUCGUGGAAACGCCAUGAGCUCACACCUGUUCCUGGCAGAGAGUCAGUGGUUUUAAAAUGUCAGCUCUUUUUGAAGGGAGCCCCUCUGUAUAUAUCUGCCUCCAGGACUGGCUCAUUUUCAGACAUGAAUCAAAGGCACUCGCUCCUUCUGCCUCAUUUUAUUGCCUUGUAUCUUGGGCACUAUUUUAAAAAAUCCUUUCAUUACCAAGAUUAGAGACUUGGGGGAGUUCCCAUCGUGGCUGAGUGGGAAAAAAAAUCCGACUAGGAACCAUGAAGAUACAGGUUCGAUCCCUGGCCUCACUCCGUGGGUGAAGGAUCCGGUGUUGCCGUGAGCUGUGGUGUAGGUCGCAGACACAGCUCGGAUCCCGAGUGGCUGUGGCUGGGGUGUAGGCCGGUGGCUACAGCUCCGAUUCGACCCCUAGCCUGGGAACCUCCAUAUGCCGCGGG
rnacentral:lncRNA from 1 species